GUCAUCCCGAUCGGCAGCGUUAAAUCGCUGCCCUCAGCGCUCCACACACGCCCAUCCGCCUCCACCCUCGGGUUCUUGCAGCACUCUCUCCCCGCGUCUGCUCACCCUUCCCCUCCCAAGCCCGCCGAAGCCCCGGCCCGCCUUCCUCGCGUACUGUCCUUCCCCAGGAUCCCCCUCCCUGUGUGUGGCCCUUCCUCCCAGCGGCCUCCCCUUCGCGGCUUCCCCUCCCCUUCGUGGCCAGCGUGGUGGAGCACUCCAGGCCCACCCCGCCUUUCUCCGUACCCCGCGCUCCCUUCUUAUGUUGUCCCUUCACGUCCCUCGCUAAGUCCCUCCCUCCUCAGCCCCCUCACCACCCGUACACACGUACCCCUCCUCCGAGGCGUCCCCGGCGCCCCUCCCUACCCCCGCUUGUCCACGCCCUCCCACCCACCCCGUCCUUUUGUCUCCUCUUUGGUCUCUAAGUCCCCGCCCUCCCUCACUCCCGCCCUUGCUCCCCGCGAGCACGCUCUUAUCUUCCCCGGGUCCCGGCGUCCCGCCCCCUGGCCGCGCCCCGCCGGCCCCCUCCCUCCCGCGGCCCCAUCUCCGCCCUCGGCGCUCCGCCCUCCCCCCCGCGGCUCCGGGCCCGCCAGCCCGGCCGACCUCCCGGGUUCCCGGCUCGCUCCUCCCGCCGCCGCCGCCGCCGCCGCCGCCGCCGCGGCUCCCCGACCCACCUUUCCCGGGCCGGCGGCUCGCGCCUCAGCGCAGUUCCCCCCCGCACACACACGCACUCCCUCCGCCUCACUUCGCCCGGGCGGCCCUGCGGUGGCCCGACCCGAGAGGCGCGCAGCCUGCCCUCGGGGGAGCCUCGGCGUCCCGCGGCCACGGGCACCUCUCGGGCGGGCGCACCGCUCGGGAGCGCGAACCCAGGCCAGGUCGCUCCCCUACCCACCCAGCCCGGCCCCCGGCGGCCGCCCGGGACGCAGGCGCCCGUCGAAAGUGUUUGAGGGACCCGGUGGGCCGCGGCGUCUCCCGCAACCGGGGCCUGGCCAGUGCGCCGCAGGGACACGCUGCGACCUGACCGACCGGGAUGAUUUUACCCGGAGCUUCCUCCCGGCUCCCGCCUCAAACCUGUCCCUUCAACGCGCACAGCGGGGACUCGGCGGCGAGCGGGAUGAAGUGGGAGGGGGACUGUCCCGAAAAUACCCUGAGGGACCUUAG
rnacentral:lncRNA from 1 species